CUGAGCAGCAGCCUCAGUGUGAACCCAGGAGCAGAGGAUGUUUCACUGUGACGACAACCACAUCCACAAUGUCUCUCUGCCGGGGUCGCCAUGUCGGGGCCAAGUGCUGCUUACGGCUGCUUGUCCACAAAGACUUUUCACGGAUCGACCUUCUCAUCAGCCACUGGGAAAUGCAACCCUCCACACCACAAGGGGGCAGUCUGGUCUCGAGCUGCUCCUAGAGCCGUCCAAGUUCCUCAGUAGAUUCUACGUGAAACACGCUGAUGAAUGUAGUCAUCGCGUGUGAAUAAUGUACAUAGUUUUGUGUCUGUCUGUGGCUGUCUGUUUUAACGUGGGAAAAACCCACAGACAUCAAAAAAAUAUUUCAACCCCGACACAUGACAUGUUAGCUUCCUAGUAAAUCCUUGAAUACCUUGAAAAAAAAAGAACAAUAGUAGUAAAAGGAACAAUAGAUCAAUUUCAUAUAUCGGUGUCCCUCCCCAUGUCAUGUGAGCCGGGGUCAUUUACCUUUUCAAAGGACAUGCUCUUAGCAGCAUUAAAACACUGAAAGAAAACAUUCUACACUGAAAGGCCGCUGAGGAGAAGGAGGGUUGCUCUAUGCAGGGCCUAUCCUGUCCUCACUGAACACUGUACCUCACAUCAAAGCACCUGUUUCCUGCUCUUCCUACACCCCAGUGUUGGGGUGCGCUACCAGCGAACGCCGCUAGCGUACUCGCCUGUAGCCUAGCGACAGCCUGUGAACUCCUCUCUCCAUCAGUGGCUUGACCCUUGACCCUUGACUUUUUAUGCCUGCUAUGAACUUACUGGUCGUCAAGUCUUGAGUUGUUGCUUUCUACCAAACCGAGAAGAGCCUUCCGUUAAUCCUCGUCGUGCCACGACCACUCCCCGGUCCAACACGCUGACGACUCUGCGCUUACUGGGGUCGGAAGGUGCUCCCUAAGCACCACCACACCUCUACUGCUGCCGUCCGUCUGCACCACCGCCCUCUAGUCUACCGCACUGCCCUCUGUCCACAAGAGGAACACCACAGACACUACGUUAUAGGACGUCGUAGCGGCUCAUGGUCUGAGGACAGCUAGUUAGUGGAAGUGCCUGCUCUUUAAUCCGACCUGCUCCUGACUCCGGAGCCUCUCCCCGGGAGGUUUGAAUGUUGAAAUGGG
ensembl:lncRNA